AGCGAACGCUGGCGGCAGGCCUAACACAUGCAAGUCGAACGAAGUCUUCGGACUUAGUGGCGGACGGGUGAGUAACACGUGGGAACGUGCCUUUAGGUUCGGAAUAACUCAGGGAAACUUGUGCUAAUACCGAAUGUGCCCUUCGGGGGAAAGAUUUAUCGCCAUUGGAGCGGCCCGCGUCUGAUUAGCUAGUUGGUGCGGUAAAGGCUCACCAAGGCGACGACCAGUAGCUGGUCUGAGAGGAUGAUCAGCCACAUUGGCACUGAGACACGGUACAAACUCCUACGGGGGGCAGCAGUGGGGAAUCUUGCGGAAUGGGAGAAAGCCUGACGCAGCCAUGCUGCGUGAAUGAUGAAGGUCUUAGGAUUGUAAAAUUCUUUCACCGGGGACGAUAAUGACGGUAGCCGGACAAGAAGCCCCGGCUAACGUCAUGCCAGCCGCCGCAGUAAGAC
rnacentral:rRNA from 1 species